UCUUAUAAUACUUAAAAUCGUAUAUAAUUUCUUACCCAAUAAGUCAAAUAAACAGAAGAAAUCGUAUAUCUGUCCCCACUCAAUGUGAAGCUAAAGAAGCGUCUUUAACGACGAUGUUCCAAUUCUGUGAACCAAGAAAACAAAGAUAAGGUGGUGUAGGGCACACCAUCCUCCUUGUCGGCUUGCAGGUCAUCUUCUUCCGGCUAUCAUCUUCUUACAACCAGAAAAUAUAUUAUUAUUUUUGUUUUUUGACGACGCCAAAGGUACAGCUUCACCUAAUGAAUCUUGAUCCAAUAGAAUACUUGGUUUUCACUUUGAAAAUCACAAAUGCAUCCAAAAUAUGAAAUGAAUCUUCAGAAUUAAUAAACUAAUGAUCUCACUCACAUGAAUGAAUCAAUGGUUUUUUUUUUUUUUUUUGUCUUUUCUUCAAUCAUGCAUUUGGCUCAUCCUUUAUAUGCAUUUUGUAUUUGCUUAAACAAUAAGACAAAGAGUUGCAUUCUAAUUGCAGCCAUGAUUACACCAAUCCUUAUUUAUCAUGAGUUUUGCAACAAAAAAUUACAAGACAAAGCUAUAAAGGUGAUCCAAAUUUAUAUCUAUUUUGCAAUUGGCACGAGUCUUCUCAUGGCUGGAAAGAGAAGAAAAGGAAUUUUGAAAAAAAAAAAGAAACCCAACUUUGAGGUGCAUGAACAUAGAAGG